CUUUCUUGGAAAACCCCUGAUAACGUUGCUACACAAAGGAGUCAUUUUGGAUUUGGGCUGACCUGGUAGACUUCUGAAAGACAGUGCUCUGGGUUCAAGUUGUCCUCAGGGCUGGAUGAUCCAUAGCAAAUAUCCCCUGAUGGAUAAGCAUUGUGCUGAGAGACUUGCCUCCAUCAGCUGUGUAAACCUCAGGAUGACCUGCACACAGGUAUACUAAGGCACACAGAGACCAGCUCGUAGUCAGUGACAAGUAACUUGCCAAGAGCUGUGGUUUAAAAGCAUGUCUGCAAAUUCUUGGACACUCUUGUCAUCCAGAAAUAGAGUCUAACCCUCCUCCCUUGAAUACGGGCUGGCUUCAGUGGUGGAAAUGACAAUGUGUGAGUUUGAGGUUUGAUUAGAAAAGAUGACACAGCCUCUGCCUGACUCUCAAGGCCCUUGUUCUUGGACAUUAGCUGCCAUGCUGGGAGGAAGCCCAGCAGCCACACAGAGAGGCCACGACAGCCGAGGUCCCAGCCAAGCCAGCAUCAACUGCCCAACACGUCAAUGAGUGAUCCUGCAGAGCCUCCCAUCUCCUAGCCACCGCAGCUGAUGCUCUGAGAGCGGAGGCAAGCUGUCCUUGCUGGGCGCUGCUUAAACUGCAGAUGUAUGAACAAAAUAAAAAUGGUGGUUAUUUUAAGACACUACAUUUUGGGUCUCUAGGUGUUUGGGGGUGGUUUUUCUCUAGCAAUAGGUCCCCAGUCUUGUGCUUUUAGGGUCCUUGUCAAGAAGAAAAGUACAAUGAGGAGGCGAGCCAUGUGCCCCUUAC
rnacentral:lncRNA from 1 species